GAUGAAGAACGUAGCGAAAUGCGAUAAGUAAUGUGAAUUGCAGAGUUCAGUGAAUCAUCGAAUCUUUGAACGCACAUUGCGCCCUCUGGUAUUCCGGGGGGCAUGCCUGUUCGAGCGUCAUUAUAACCACUCAAGCUCUCGCUUGGUAUUGGAGUUCGCGAUCUCGCGGCUCCUAAAAUCAGUGGCGGUGCCUGUCGGCUCUACGCGUAGUAAUACUCCUCGCGAUUGAGUCCGGUAGGUUUACUUGCCAGCAACCCCCAAUUUUUACAGGUUGACCUCGGAUCAGGUAGGGAUACCCGCUGAACUUAAGCAUAUCAAUAAGCGGAGGA
rnacentral:misc_RNA from 1 species